GGCCUAAUAGCUCAGUGGUAGAGCGAUAGUUUCACUUUCUUUUCCUUCAACGGAAGCGAUCACUACAGGUCCACGGUUCGAUCCCGUGUUGGGUCA
rfam:Kwoniella heveanensis BCC8398 unplaced genomic scaffold supercont1.2, whole genome shotgun sequence.